AGGCUUUCCAGAAAUGAAAGGUGAACUAAAAGCCUUUGUCUGAGAUGAUGGAAAAUAGAACUCCAUGUAAUCUAACCAACUCUUUAACAUAGACCUUGGCAUACUCCUUGGCUGAGUAGGAAGUAUAGAUUGGUAAGAAAUGAUUUGAUUUGGUCAUCCUAUCCAAAAUAACCCAAACCGAAUCAUACUAACAAUGAGUACGGGGCAAACCCAUCAUAAAAUCUA
rnacentral:lncRNA from 1 species